CAGAGGGUGCGAACGUUGCUCGGAAUUACUGGGCGUAAAGCGCGUGUAGGCGGGUCGGCAAGUCAGGCGUGAAAUCCCCAGGCUCAACCUGGGAACUGCGCUUGAAACUGCCGGUCUUGAGUAUCGGAGAGGGUGGCGGAAUUCCUGGUGUAGAGGUGAAAUUCGUAGAUAUCAGGAGGAACACCGGUGGCGAAGGCGGCCACCUGGACAAUUACUGACGCUGAGACGCGAAAGCGUGGGGAGCAAACAGGAUUAGAUACCCUGGUAGUCCACGCCGUAAACGAUGGGGGCUAGGUGUCUCGGGUAUUGACCCCUGAGGUGCCGUAGCUAACGCGUUAAGCACCCCGCCUGGGAAGUACGGCCGCAAGGCUA
rnacentral:rRNA from 1 species